GAUGAACGCUGGCGGCGUGCCUAAUACAUGCAAGUCGAGCGAUCAGACGCGGAGCUUUCUCCUCUGACUUUAUCGGCGGCCGGGUGAUUAACACGUGGAUAACCUACCUAUAAGACUUUGUUAACUUCGGGAUACCGGAGCUAAUACCGGAUAAUAUAUUGAACCUCAUGGUUCAAUAGUGAGAGACGGUUUUUCUGUCACUUAUAGAUGGAUUCGCGCCGUAUUAGCUAGUUGGUAAGGUAACGGCUUACCAAGGCAGCGAUGCGUAGCCGACCUGAGAGGGUGGUCGGCCACACUGGAACGGAGAAACGGUCCAGAAGACUACGAGAGGCAGCAGUAGGGAAUAUUACGCAAUGGGGGAAAGAAUGACGGAGCAACGCCGCGUGAGGGAUGAAGGUCUUCGGAUCGUAGAACUCUGUUAUUAGGGAAGAACAAAUGUGUAAGUAACUAUGCACGUCUUGACGGUACCUAAUCAGAAAGCCACGGCUAACUACGUG
rnacentral:rRNA from 1 species